rnacentral:rRNA from 1 species
CUUCGGCCUGGUGGCGAGUGGCGAACGGGUGAGUAAUACAUCGGAACAUGUCCUGUAGUGGGGGAUAGCCCGGCGAAAGCCGGAUUAAUACCGCAUACGAUCUGAGGAUGAAAGCGGGGGACCUUCGGGCCUCGCGCUAUAGGGUUGGCCGAUGGCUGAUUAGCUAGUUGGUGGGGUAAAGGCCUACCAAGGCGACGAUCAGUAGCUGGUCUGAGAGGACGACCAGCCACACUGGGACUGAGACACGGCCCAGACUCCUACGGGAGGCAGCAGUGGGGAAUUUUGGACAAUGGGCGCAAGCCUGAUCCAGCAAUGCCGCGUGUGUGAAGAAGGCCUUCGGGUUGUAAAGCACUUUUGUCCGGAAAGAAAUCAUUCUGGCUAAUACCCGGAGUGGAUGACGGUACCGGAAGAAUAAGCACCGGCUAACUACGUGCCAGCAGCCGCGGUAAUACGUAGGGUGCGAGCGUUAAUCGGAAUUACUGGGCGUAAAGCGUGCGCAGGCGGUUUGCUAAGACCGAUGUGAAAUCCCCGGGCUCAACCUGGGAACUGCAUUGGUGACUGGCAGGCUAGAGUAUGGCAGAGGGGGGUAGAAUUCCACGUGUAGCAGUGAAAUGCGUAGAGAUGUGGAGGAAUACCGAUGGCGAAGGCAGCCCCCUGGGCCAAUACUGACGCUCAUGCACGAAAGCGUGGGGAGCAAACAGGAUUAGAUAC